CUCCUCUAUUUUAUCCAGACUAGGGAUCGACAUAAGAGUGCUAAGCUCGUUUUGAAACUUUUCUAACUUGCGAUAACAGGUUUGUAACUGUUGCGUCUGGAGCAGCCUCGGGGAAAUAUUUGCAGUAUGAGUUGUGGGAGGUCCCAGAAUUUCUGUUCAAACAGCUUACGGAGUGGAAGUUGAGGUAGAGAAAGAUCACCAAAGAUUAAGUACCUGUCAAGCAAUCGACUUACUGGACCAAUUUAAGAUUGGAUCAGAAAUAGAAAUACCAAAUACUUUUUAUGCAGGCAUUUGCUUGAAUAAGUACAAAAAGGGUUGCUCCAUGGUUUCGGGAUAGCUGUCACGUAGCAAGCAAGUUGUAUUUUGGCAUAAUCCCAUAUGAGCUAGCUUUACUUUCGUGAGUAAUCUUCCGUGCAUUGCAAUCCAGGAGAUAAAACUAUGUUUUGGGAUGUUUGUUGUGUUCCAUACCGCUCUCCAUCAUUGUUUUUGUGGUUCUUCUCCGAGCCUCCAUUUAAAGCCACUACUAAUAGUAUACUGCCCAUUUGGUUUUAGCCAUCCGUUACCCAUGUAACCGGUAAAAGAAGAUGGACAGUUGGCACAUUCUAAUGAGGAUGAGAGCACCCAAAAAAUGUUCUUGUGAUCCUAUCGCACCGCUGGAAUUGCCUCAUUCUUUGCAUGCCUUUCACUGGGUUUCUCCAUCUGAUGAACUGAACAUGGAAGGUUUCCAUACAUUUUGUGGAGGGUUCUG